rnacentral:siRNA from 1 species
AUGAAGGUGAGGAAAUGUCAUCAA